rnacentral:rRNA from 1 species
UACGUAGGGGGCUAGCGUUGUCCGGAAUCAUUGGGCGUAAAGAGCGCGUAGGCGGCUAGAUAAGUCCGCUGUGAAAACUCGAGGCUCAACUUCGAGCUGUCGGUGGAAACUAUUUGGCUAGAGUCCGGAAGAGGAGAGUGGAAUUCCUGGUGUAGCGGUGAAAUGCGCAGAUAUCAGGAAGAACACCCGUGGCGAAGGCGGCUCUCUGGUACGGAACUGACGCUGAGACGCGAAAGCGUGGGGAGCGAACAGG